rnacentral:lncRNA from 1 species
GGAAAAAAAAGAGAAGCAGAAAGGGGCCUACAGAUAGGACCUGGUUCUGUGAAGGCAUGCCAUGCAUUGAGUGAUUGCAUAUUCUCAUUUGAUGAGCACAAUGGAAAUCUGGGUUUUACAGAUCCCUAUUGUUGAUGACCAGGAAUUGCUGCCAUAUGUAGUGAAUGCUGCCAAGAACUACAGUCCAGAGAUGGUUUCAAAGCUGUAAUACCAGCAUUUUGAUGGAAGCAUUCCCUUGCAAUCACUUAGAAACUUGCUUCUUUAUCUUACUACAUGUUUUACCCUGCAUUUCUUUUCUGCACAAAUUCUCAUCCUUCUGUCCCUCCCUUUUAAUUUUCUGUUCUUUAUGUUCACAUUUAUUCUUUCUCUGAUCUUUUCCAGUUCCAGUAACCCUUCCUACUCUGUACCACAUGAAAAGGCUUGGAGAGCAUAUAUUUGAUACUCAGAGGUCUGGUAUGGCAGGGCCCACGACCGCAGUCACAAUGGAGAGAAAUUUGGGCUGAUGGACUGCUGCUGGAGCUGGUCAUCAUAGCUAUGUGAGCUGCCACAGCUGGCUGUGUUCCCAUAACAACAUGGCUUGUUGCCAUAAUAAUACAACAGGAACAUGAGUAUUGUACAGGGACCUACCUUGAUCUAUAGCUGCAGUGGCACUGUGACUGGCAUUCAUAAGGAAUGAGCAGACUUAUGGUCAUUCAGUUGUAUCCACUUACAUUAAUCUCACGACAAACACUGGAGAGUGAAAUGUGAAUUCAUGCAUUUUAGUUAUAUAGCUACAUACAUCUGAGCUAUAGCUAGAUGUCAACAUUCUUAUGUAUUCAUGUUUUCACACUGGCUUUGCACUGCAUUUGUGUCACUACAAAAGAGCCUUUAAAAAUUUACCAGAACUCCAGCUAGUGUAAAUCAACAUAGCUCCACUGAAAUGUUUUGCCUUGACGUUGGUGUGAAUAUAUUUCAGACCCGAAUGACAUAAGCUACACUUACAUCUGAAUGCAAAAACAUCAUAAAAUAACUAAUGUAUUUCUGUACCAAAACAAGCUUAGGUGAAAGCAAACCAAUGAGUCUAUCUUCCAUGGGACUGCCAAUUUUUUGCUGUUGGUGUUUAAGAGACAUGAAUGACACACAAAAUUUGCCAUGGAAAUCAAACAUACAAUUAUUAAAAUUGACACUCUCUUGCUAAAGAUUUUUUUACCAGUUCUCAUCCAUACGACUAGGGUUUUGCUUAUCUGAAGGUUAGAACCAGAGUAUUAUGCACUGGUAGAGUAAUAAUUUUUAUUGAACUUAGUAACAUAAUAGGCUGAUUUUUUCCAGUCUGAAGGAUAGGUCAAUUUGUAUUGAAUCUGCAUGGUUUCUCUUUAAAGCCCUUUGAAGAAAACACAUGCUUUUUGUAGGGAACCAUAAAGUAGAUUUAAGCUGAUACUGCCACUAUGUAGAAGGCAAAUUGCCAGCACUGCUGACAUCUAUGAGUACAUAAACUGAGUAACCCUUAAAACUCCCUCAAAGUCCUGCAAUCUAUUCCUUCUGCAUGCCUUGGCUGCUAGCUCCUCUUCCAGACAUCCUUCAGCACUUAUCUAUCAGGCACAGCCUGAACUUUCAGGAUCUCAUCUUUGCCUGGUGCCUAAACAGGAACUUUUUCCUUUAGCUUGAACACAACUUGUGCCAGGCUUCAACUGAGUAAGUCACAACAGAGAGGUGGAGUCCUGUCUGUAGGUGGUUGAUCCAAGAAAGGUGCAAAUGGAGGCGCUGCUAUUCAGAUCCAAGCUCUUCCUUGUCAACCUCCCGCUCUAACAGAUCUGUCUAUAAUGAGACUCUUCACCUUUGAGUACUAUGCCUCAGAAACAGAUUGUAAAUGCGGAGGGCCUCAUGCACAGCACUUUUAAGAAUCUGGCAGCAGACAGGCAGGUGGCAUGCAGAAGCUGGUGCUGCUGCUGGGAAUGGAAGAGGGACGACCCACUUGCACCUUCCCUCCCUUCUACCCACUUUAAAGUUCCUCAGACAUGGUGAGCCAUUUGGAACAGCACUUGCCAGAGUCUGUGGACAGAUAUAGUGUACGUGACAGGGCUUCAGCCCAGGGUGGCAACCACAGGUUCUGCCCAGUGACAGCUCAGAAUAUGUACGUUUACAAAUACCUCUUACAAGUCAGAGUCAAAAGCAGUGUGACAGGUACCUACCGGAGGUACAGUGGUGAGUAGGUAGGGAGGAGAAUGAGGAGCCAGAAGCCUCCCUUCUCUUCCUGCUUCAUUGAUUCACUCCAUUUCUGCACCCUACUCCGUACAAUGGGAGUUCCUAUGCUCACUCUCAGUUAUGAUUAAUUUUCAUGCCCUAAUUUUCAUAAGCAACUAUUAGGCUUGUUCAUGAUUUUGAAAAGCUUUGUCAAGGUGAAAGUUAGACUGAAAUCAUGGUCUGACUUCUUCCCCAGCUCAGCAGAGACUCGACAGUCGGUGGAUACUGAGUCUUCCCAUGUGGUAGGCUAUACCCACUCUUUGAGGUAUAGUAGUUUCAAAAAAUGAGGCCAACUCACCGGUUUGGCAUGUCAGAGAAGAGGAGCAUUCCCACAAGGGAACUUGUCUGCACAACUUGGAUAUUCAAAUUUUGUCAGACAGGAUCUCUCUCCAAGGUAGAGGAGUUUCCUUCUGUCUUGUCUUAGGAACAAUGCAGGCAUGUAGUUUAGGGAAAUCGCUUCAUUAAGUACUUAAGUGUAGGCAUAAGGCAGGUGCCACGGUUUGGUGGAUUAGAACAUCGCUAUGAAAACAUCAAGUGAUCAAGGAUGGACCACAGCAUGAUGCAAGCCCUUAGCACAAAUAGUUGUGUUCUCUCCCUUUUAUGACUUCAUGUGUAUGUUUCCUGGGUUGAUUAAGAACGAGUGUAUCAGAACCCCAAGCUGAAAUGCCCUCUAUAAGCGCCCUCUGUUUCUCUUUCAACAGUGAAACCACAGUGAGUGCAACUUGUCUGUGCUAAAGGCAACCUUGGCAAACAUCUCCUUAUCAGCUGGAGAAAUCCUUGAACAACCAAAUUACAGCCUGAUUUCACAUAAUUGUUGUUAGUCAGGAAAGAUUCGUAAGCAUAUGUGUAACUUAGCAUGAACUGUGUUACUUACUUACUUACAAUGAUUUAAGUGCUUUCCAGAAUGAGAAAAAAAAAGGGGGGGGGGGGGGCAAGGAAAGGAGAAGAAAAGGGAAAGAAAGAGAAGGAGAAGGAGAAAGAAGGAACAAAGAAAGAGAGGAGAAAGCAAGACCAGAAAAAUGGAAAAGGUAGAGUGGGAAGAGAGACUUCUAAAAUUGACAACCUUUUUUUUUUUUGUUCUGCCCUUGUUCCUUCCCUGCAUCUAUCAGUGUUCAAUGCUGCUUUUGUUUUAUCACUAUUCAGAAAGUGUAGCAAAUCCCUUUGCAAAAAGUCUUGAAGCACAGAUGAGCUUCAGUUCUGCUCUUGUUAUAGUCAAUAACAAAUCCAUUCACAUCAGUGACUAAGGAUCUUGGCUUUGCUUGGAAAACAUCACAUCAGCAGCGAGAAGGUCAUUUUAACAUGUUAGCCUGGGCUCUUUGCUGCUUAAUUCAUUUUAGGUCUGGUAUAAUUUUGUUUUUCUAGCACUGGUGUGAAACUUGGAAUAAUCCUUUUCAAUCUCCUGUGCAGUUAACCCAGAAGGCUGUUGAACAGAUAGCACAGCCAAGCUGGGCAGCUGCAGUCUCCUUAAGAUGCCAUUUAAGGAAAAGAAUUAUAUUAAAAAGGAAUAAGAGUUUCUUAAGACUUUUUUUUUCUUAUCUGUUUUGUCUAAUGGAUCCUUUGAGCUCAUUUGCCUAUGACAGUAUUAAAUUAUUAUUUUCUUUAAAUCUGUUUCAAUGUAUUAUUCUUGCUGAAGGGAUGAGGGCUAUAACACUGGUAUUUCUGCUUUUCAGGGACAAAUGCAAAU